GACGAACGCUGGCGGCGUGCUUAACACAUGCAAGUCGAACGGAAAGGCCCCCAUCGUGGUGGGGGUGCGCGAGAGGCGAAAGGGUGAGUAACACGUGGUUGAUCUGCCCUGGACUUCGGGAUAAGCUUGGGGAACUGGGUCUAAUACCGGAUAGGACCAUGGUGUAGUGUGUCAUGGUGGAACGGUUAUUGUUUUGGUGCAGGAGGAGCUCGCGGCCUAUCAGCUGGUUGGGGGGGUAAUGGCCUACCAAGGGGUCGACGGGUAGCCGGCCGGAGAGGGCGGCCGGCGAGAUUGGGACUCGGAUACGGCCCAGACUCAGACGCGAGGCAGCAGUGGGGAAUAGUGGACAAGGAGCGUGAGCCUGAGGCAGCGACGUGGUGUGGGAGCUGACGGCGUUCGGGUUGUACCCUCCUUUCGGUAGGGACGAAGACAAGGUUGUUGGGUGGGGUGACCGUUACUUUGUGAAGAAGCACCGGCUAACUACGUG
rnacentral:rRNA from 1 species